rnacentral:tRNA from 1 species
UCCCUGAUAGCUCAGAUGGUAAAGAGUCUGCCUGCAAUGCAGGGGACCCAGGUUUGAUCCCUGGGUGAGGAA